GAAAUGCGAUAAGUAAUGUGAAUUGCAGAAUUCAGUGAAUCAUCGAAUCUUUGAACGCACAUUGCGCCCGCCAGUAUUCUGGCGGGCAUGCCUGUUCGAGCGUCAUUUCAGCCAUCAAGCCCCCGGCUUGUGUUGGGGACCUGCGGCUGCCCGCAGGCCCUGAAAAACAGUGGCGGGCUCGCUGUCACACCGAGCGUAGUAGCAUACAUUCUCGCUCAGGGCGUGCUGCGGGUUCCGGCCGUUAAACGACCUUCAUAACCCAAGGUUGACCUCGGAUCAGGUAGGAAGACCCGCUGAACUUAAGC
rnacentral:misc_RNA from 1 species